GAUGAACGCUAGCGGCAGGCUUAAUACAUGCAAGUCGAGGGGCAGCAGGGGUGUAGCAAUACACUCGCUGGCGACCGGCAAACGGGUGCGGAACACGUACGCAACUUACCCAUAACUGGGGAAUAGCCCGGGGAAACCCGGAUUAAUACCCCGUAACAUAUUGAGAGGGCAUCUUCUUAAUAUUAUAGCUCAGGCGGUUAUGGAUGGGCGUGCGCCUGAUUAGGUAGUUGGCGGGGUAACGGCCCACCAAGCCUACGAUCAGUAACUGGUGUGAGAGCACGACCAGUCACACGGGCACUGAGACACGGGCCCGGACUCCUACGGGAGGGCAGCAGUAAGGAAUAUUGGUCAAUGGACGCAAGUCUGAACCAGCCAUGCCGCGUGAAGGAUGAAGGUCCUCU
rnacentral:rRNA from 1 species